rnacentral:rRNA from 1 species
GAUCCUUCGGGAUAGUGGCGGACGGGUGAGUAACGCGUGGGAAUCUGCCCUCAGGAGGGGGAUAACGGCUGGAAACGGCCGCUAAUACCCCAUAUGCCGAGAGGUGAAACGAAUUUCGCCUGAGGAUGAGCCUGCGUCUGAUUAGCUAGUUGGUGGGGUAACGGCCCACCAAGGCGACGAUCAGUAGCUGGUCUGAGAGGAUGAUCAGCCACACUGGGACUGAGACACGGCCCAGACUCCUACGGGAGGCAGCAGUGGGGAAUUUUCCGCAAUGGGCGAAAGCCUGACGGAGCAACGCCGCGUGAGGGAUGAAGGCCUCUGGGCUGUAAACCUCUUUUCUCAAGGAAGAAGACCUGACGGUACUUGAGGAAUAAGCCACGGCUAAUUCCGUGCAGCAGCCGCGGUAAUACGGGAGUGGCAAGCGUUAUCCGGAAUUAUUGGGCGUAAAGCGUCCGCAGGCGGCCUUGUAAGUCUGUUGUUAAAGCGUGGAGCUUAACUCCAUUUAAGCAAUGGAAACUACAAGGCUGGAGUGUGGUAGGGGCAGAGGGAAUUCCCGGUGUAGCGGUGAAAUGCGUAGAUAUCGGGAAGAACACCAGUGGCGAAGGCGCUCUGCUGGGCCAUAACUGACGCUCAUGGACGAAAGCCAGGGGAGCGAAAGGGAUUAGAUACCCCUGUAGUCCUGGCCGUAAACGAUGAACACUAGGUGUCGGGGGAAUCGACCCCCUCGGUGUCGUAGCCAACGCGUUAAGUGUUCCGCCUGGGGAGUACGCACGCAAGUGUGAAACUCAAAGGAAUUGACGGGGGCCCGCACAAGCGGUGGAGUAUGUGGUUUAAUUCGAUGCAACGCGAAGAACCUUACCAGGGUUUGACAUCCUGCGAACCCCUGAGAAAUCGGGGGGUGCCUUCGGGAGCGCAGAGACAGGUGGUGCAUGGCUGUCGUCAGCUCGUGUCGUGAGAUGUUGGGUUAAGUCCCGCAACGAGCGCAACCCACGUCUUUAGUUGCCAGCAUUCAGUUGGGCACUCUAGAGAGACCGCCGGUGAUAAACCGGAGGAAGGUGUGGAUGACGUCAAGUCAUCAUGCCCCUUACAUCCUGGGCUACACACGUACUACAAUGCUACGGACAAAGGGCAGCAAGCUCGCGAGAGUUAGCAAAUCCCAUAAACCGUGGCUCGGUUCAGAUCGUAGGCUGCAACUCGCCUACGUGAAGGAGGAAUCGCUAGUAAUCGCAGGUCAGCAUACUGCGGUGAAUACGUUCCCGGGCCUUGUACACACCGCCCGUCACACCAUGGAAGUUGGCCAUGCCCGAAGUCGUUACUCCAACCCUUGUGGAGGAGGACGCCGAAGGUGGGGCUGAUGACUGGGGUGAAGUCGGAACAAGGUA